rnacentral:rRNA from 1 species
GAUGAACGCUGGCGGCGUGCCUAAUACAUGCAAGUCGAGCGAACAGACGAGGAGCUUGCUCCUCUGACGUUAGCGGCGGACGGGUGAGUAACACGUGUAUAACCUACCUAUAAGACUGGGAUAACUUCGGGAAACCGGAGCUAAUACCGUAUAAUAUAUUGAACCGCAUGGUUCAAUAGUGAAAGACGGUUUUGCUGUCACUUAUAGAUGGAUCCGCGCCGCAUUAGCUAGUUGGUAAGGUAACGGCUUACCAAGGCAACGAUGCGUAGCCGACCUGAGAGGGUGAUAGGCCACACUGGAAGUGAGACACGGUCCAGACUCCUACGGGAGGCAGCAGUAGGGAAUCUUACGCAAUGGGCGAAAGCUUGACGGAGCAACGCCGCGUGAGUGAUGAAGGUCUUCGGAUCGUAAAACUCUGUUAUUAGGGAAGAACAAAUGUGUAAGUAACUAUGCACGUCUUGACGGUACCUAAUCAGAAAGCCACGGCUAACUACGUG